UACGUAGGGUGCAAGCGUUGUCCGGAAUUAUUGGGCGUAAAGAGCUCGUAGGCGGUUCGUCGCGUCGGCUGUGAAGUCCCGAGGCUCAACCUCGGGUCUGCAGUCGAUACGGGCGGACUGGAGUUCGGCAGGGGAGACUGGAAUUCCUGGUGUAGCGGUGAAAUGCGCAGAUAUCAGGAGGAACACCGGUGGCGAAGGCGGGUCUCUGGGCCGAUACUGACGCUGAGGAGCGAAAGCGUGGGGAGCGAACAGG
rnacentral:rRNA from 1 species